rnacentral:rRNA from 1 species
CGAACGCUGGCGGCGUGCUUAACACAUGCACGUCGAACGGAAAGGCCCUGCUUUUGUGGGGUGCUCGAGUGGCGAACGGGUGAGUAACACGUGAGUAACCUGCCCUUGACUUUGGGAUAACUUCAGGAAACUGGGGCUAAUACCGGAUAGGAGCUCCUGCUGCAUGGUGGGGGUUGGAAAGUUUCGGCGGUUGGGGAUGGACUCGCGGCUUAUCAGCUUGUUGGUGGGGUAGUGGCUUACCAAGGCUUUGACGGGUAGCCGGCCUGAGAGGGUGACCGGCCACAUUGGGCCUGAGAUACGGCCCAGACUCCUACGGGAGGCAGCAGUGGGGAAUAUUGCACAAUGGGCGGAAGCCUGAUGCAGCAACGCCGCGUGCGGGAUGACGGCCUUCGGGUUGUAAACCGCUUUCGCCUGUGACGAAGCGUGAGUGACGGUAAUGGGUAAAGAAGCACCGGCUAACUACGUG